UGGGGAAUAUUGGACAAUGGGGGCAACCCUGAUCCAGCGAUGCCGCGUGGGUGAAGAAGGCCUUCGGGUUGUAAAGCCCUUUAGGUUGGGAAGAAGUGUGGCGGUGGAAUAUACCGCUGCAUUGACUGUACCGACAGAAUAAGCACCGGCAAACUCUGUGCCAGCAGCCGCGGUAAUACAGAGGGUGCAAGCGUUGUUCGGAAUUACUGGGCGUAAAGCGCGUGUAGGCGGCUAAUUAUGUCAGGUGUGAAAGCCCUCGGCCUAACCGAGGAAGUGCGCCUGAAACUGAUUAGCUUGAGUACGAGAGAGGAGGACGGAAUUCCCAGUGUAGAGGUGAAAUUCGUAGAUAUUGGGAGGAACACCCGUGGCGAAGGCGGAUCUCUGGACCGGUUCUGACGCUGAGGAGCGAAAGCUAGGGGAGCAAACAGGAUUAGAUACCCGGGUAGUCCCUGAGCGGGCUGGCAAGGCG
rnacentral:rRNA from 1 species